CUCCACUAUUAUGAAUGGGUGGAGUCUAAGACAAACAGGACAGAGCAGGAAGGGAAGAGUUAGAGCAUGAGCUAAGAAAGUUGGCCUUGGAGGGAUUGACACUGAAAAGUGUUGUGGAAGUUGGAGGGAAGGGGAGAGGCUUAAGGUGUUUAUCUAAAUACUUAAAAGAUAAGAUAAGAGGAUGUAAAUGUAGUAGUAUAAUUAGUCACACUGGAAGAUGGCAGCAAUGCAACAAUUUGGAUGCCAGCUGCCAUUUAGAAACUAUAGAAGAAGACAGUCAGCAAAUUAGCUGACAGUGCAACAUGGUCCAGUGAGUGGCUCUGGAGUAGAAGAAAGGUGUGGGAACUGGGAAAAGACAGAGAAGAAGACUGUCAUAGUGCACUGGACACAGCUGGAGGACAAAGGAGGAAGUAGGCAGAGCCAAAGUGAAGUGUCUGACAAGGCAGCUGCAGCCCACCGAGAAAGACGUGGCAAACAUGGAAGGUCCCACAGAUGGUGGAGCGGGACAGGCAGCACAACCCCCCAGAAAAACAGUGGAGAAGAUGAUCCAGCCAACUGCCAACGGAGGGGCAAGCAAACAAUGAAACAAGUAAGUGUUGCAGCAGAGCAGGAUCGCAAAGUCAGAAAUGUAAGAUCAAAGGUAAAGGGAAGAGGGGCAGAAGAUGAAAGAGGGCAAUAAGGCUGGCUACAUUUGAAAUGAAUGGGUUUCAGCAUUGCUUUCUCCCACUGCAAUGAGGCAUUAUCAAAUUUUAGCUUCAGUGUUACUCAUUCAACAGAUCUGUGAUGGCAACGAAGAUCUGAUUUGUGCAUCUGGUACAAAAAAACCUGAGUGGGUGUGAAGCAUGAUCAUCCCCCUGGCAUAAACAACACUGUCUGAGGAUGAUUACACAGUUGAUUAAACUGCAACACUGUCAAAUGUGAGGAUAAAUGUGCAGUGCUGAUUAUGAUCAACCUUUUCUCUCUCUGAAAUGGGAUGCC